GGACGGCUGAGGCCCACGACCAGUCGCCCCGUUGACGUUUCCAUUUCCGCCACUCCACAGUCCACACCGAAAUCAGAUCCAAAUCCCACCACACCAAUCCAUCCGCCCCCAUCUCCAUCCCCGUCGCCCGAUCCGAUCCGGUCCGGUCCCUCGCCAUGGCACCGUCGUUCUGGGGCCCCGAGUUCCCCCCGCAGCCGGCGGCGGUGUUCGAUGACCUCGCGCUCGUGGAGGCGGAGGACGCGUACGAGGACGAGAUGGAGGAGGAGGGCGAGGGGGACGAGCAGCAUGAGCACGGCAGCGACGGGGAAGUCGUCCCGAUGGACAUCGAGGACCUGGAGGAGGCGCAUCUCUCCUGCGGCUGCGGCCGCAACCUGCUCACCCUGUGCUUCCGGGGCGUUGUGCACAUCUUCAUGUCCGCCUCCCCUGACAAGGUGUCGGAGGUGGAAGCUGCACUUUCGCUGCAGGGGCGAUUGGAUCCGGCGGACUCUACCACUGUGCCGCCCGCCGCGCGCAACACGCUCACCAUGAUCUUCCGGGGCCAGGAGUGCAGUUUCGACUCUGUAACCCCUGAUGAGGUGCAAGAUGUACUUUUGUCGCUCGCGGGAAGGGAGCUGAUGGUCCCUAGGAUUGAGCUCAAAAUGGAGUUCCUGCACGGGAGCUACGACUUCGACUCUGUAUCCCCUGAUAAGUUGCAAGCUGCACUUCCGCUGCUGGGGGGAAUGGAUCUGACGGUCUCUACGGCUCUGCCAUGUGCCAACAACCAGCUCACUGAACCCUUGAUAUGCUGGAUCGACGUGUUCGACCCUGUAUUCCCUGAUAAGAUGCAAGCUUUACUUUCGCUGCUCGGGGGAGACGAGCUCAACCCAGGCAUUGGUGGUGGAGCAUCACCAUCAAUUCCAUACAGACUAUUUUUACAGUCUAUAAACCAUGUUUGUGGUGGCACCAUUGAUGAGAUUUAGGGAGAAGCUGAAAAAGCAGGACUUUGUUAAGAAGAUCUGUUAUACUACUGUUUGGAAGAAACUUGCACUAAGGAUGCAGCGCAGUAGAUGCCAAUUUACAUCUUCAAGGCCAAAACCUGAUAAAUCAGCAUCCAAGUUGGUAACUCCAGAUGGCUCCGCAAAUAGGGAAUUAGUGGAGGCUCGAUGUCUGUCUGCUGCCGAGUAAGGAUGCAGCGCAAUAGAGACCAAUACAUCUUCAAGACCAAGACCUUAUGAAGCAACAUCAGAACUUGGCAACUCAAAUAAGGGAUUAGUGGAGGGUCGACCUCCGUUGGGUAAGUAUUUUUUUGGCCUCGAACUCUUCCAAAAGUGAAGAAAUCGUCCCUCAACUUCAAAACCACCAAAAUUCAGUCCCUCAACUAUUUAAACCGGAUACUUUUCGUCCCUAAUAACGUUUAAGGUGGUUUUACUGUGACGUGGACCCUGUUUUGACUAAAACGGGCCACGUGGGCUGGUUUUGACCUCCAGGUCAAUCAAGUGACUAAGGGCACCCGCUGGCUCUCUCUCUCGCUUUCGCAUUCUCUCGAUCCCUUUUCCCAUUCACGAACCCUAAAUAGAGCGGUGGCGGCGGGCUGUGAGGCGUGGCUACGGCGGCGUGGCCUGCCAGUGAUUGAGGCGCGGUGGUUGCUGGCUGAGCACGGUGGCUGUGGUGGUGGCUGCUAGGGCAUGACGGCAGCGACCUUGAGCACGACCAGUUCUGGGCGGCGGCGGCGAUUUAGGCAGCGGCUGCGGUGGUGAUUCCCUCAUGGGCGGCGGUGAUUGAGGCCCGCGGUUGCUGGUUGAGCAUGGUGGCGGCUGCGCUGUGAAAUCCAGUUCAUCCUUUACUGUCAAUGUUACCUCCGGCCCGGCAAGUUCCCAAGUUGGCGGAAAUUAAAGAGCAAAGAAAGUGCCAGCAAAACUACCAGACUAGUGCUUGUUUGCUGUUGUCUGUUCUUAUGUCAGACCAUGUGAGAAUUCAUGUUUGUCAUUGAUUCUAAGCUAUAUUCAGUACUAUUUCCCUUUCCCAUUUAGUACUUUGUCAGACUAUGUUAAACUAAAUUGGGUCGAGAAUGUGUUCAGACUAUUUUCAAUUAAAUUGUGUUCAGACUAUGUUCAGCUAAAUUCAGUACAAUGCUCUGAAAUGUCCAAACUAUUUUCAGUUAUAUUCAGAUUUUGAUAAGCUAUAUUCAGUGCAAACACUUUCCUUUUCUCUUGGUUCUCACUUGUACACACGCGCACACACACUCAUGCACAAACACUUAAUUGAUGUGGCAGUCAAAACCAGUGUAUGUGGCCCGUUUCAGUCAAAACAGGGUCCACGUCAAAAUAAAACCACCUCAAGUGUUAUGACGAACGAAAAGUAUCCGGUUUAAAUGGUUGAGGGACGAAAAGUAUCUGGUUUAAAUAGUUGAGGGACUGACUUUGGGUGGUUUUGGAGUUGAGGGAUGAUUUCUCAACUUUCAAAAGACUUCCGAGGAUGAAAAAUUUACUUAUCCCACCUCUGUCUGCUGCUGAGUGCUGAGUAAGUUAAUAGAGGCCAAUGUACUUUGCUGCUAUUGGUUUAUAUGUAUUUGAAUUUUCCAGCAACAUUUUAGAUGCUUUCUGUGGGAUUUGGCAGCUAUGCGUUGAGCCGUUGAGAAUCAUUGCUAUGCUUGAAAUAAUUGAUCUAGUAUGUCAUAGUAGGUGCCACAAAAGAAACACGAUUCUUGCAAAUACUUAGUGCAGUUGGCGUCUACACAUCAUCAUAGUAUAUAGUUAGCUUUUUUUAGUCUAGCUUGUCUCUUUCCUGGGAUAUUCAGUUUUGUUUACUUUGUUAGUUGUGCAAGCAGGAUUGAUAUGGACUGAAGGCAUUAUCUGAUACCUAGCAUACAUGGAGAGAUGCUUCUUUCCAUAUGAUAUUGUUAUUGCUAGUUCUUACCUUUUUGGUUUCUUAAGCCUCAUCCCAAAUCCAGAAGCCUGAGAACUGUGGUACACAGAUUUUAAGGGUGAGUAUCAGGAGGGAGUGGCUUGCUCAUUAAUAAAUUCGGAUGUCCUUGGCACCCUCGUCUCCAUGGGAGAUGUAAAGUUAUCUUGGUCAUGAUCAUCUUAAUGAUUUCCCGGGUUCCUAGUUUUUUCUUAUUCCUAUGAAUCAAACACCCAACUCUACAAAAUUCAUGUGUUUUGUGAUUCUUUAUUUUGCGCAUGCUUUCGUAUCCUAUUUUUUUGGUUUCCUGUUCUUAAGUUUUUUGAGUCCUGCGAACCAAGAGGCCCUUAGUGGGAUAUGGUUCUGUUCUGGUGGUGGCUUUGGUUACCAUGUGCCUAUGGAAGACCUCAUUGGGCGAGGAGAGCUUGGGAAAUUUAUAUCAUGUGCCUAUUGAAGGCCUCAUUUGCCGAUGAGUGCUCGGGAAAAUGUAUACCAAAUUCAUGAAAGGCAGAGAUCAUAGAUGGGAGUCGACUUGAUACAGACCUGGAAGUUGCUAGACGAUGAAGACCUUCCCAAAAUUGAUGAGCAGGUUCUAUGGAGACAUGGCGGGGAUGAUCCUUACCAGUGUCUACUUCUGCGCAUGAGAGGAACACAUGAGUUCACAACAACAUUGCUUACGGAAAUAUGGAAAUUAUGUCGUUCCUGGUACCGAGAAGCCAAGUAGUAUAAGAGAGACAUGAGAGGUGCCCUCCUUGUAUUAGAUUAUCAUAUCAGUAGUAACUUACGCAUGAACAAUCAUAGGUUGCCCUCUUGUAUAUUAAGUGUCUACACCACUGAAGAAUGGAGGACAUUCAGUGGGCGGCAGUUUUUGACGAUUGUUAUUUUAUGGCGUGCGAUUUUCUGCGUAUUAGUUUUGAGCAUUGUAAUAGGGAAGCAAAUAAAGUUGCUCAGAAACUUGCUAGAUUAGCUAAAUUUUCUGUGACUAGAGAUUGUUUUGAGGAACCUAUGAAUGAGAUUGUAACUUCUCUUAUUAACGAUGUAACUGUUAUUUUCAA